rnacentral:rRNA from 1 species
GAUGAACGCUAGCGGCAGGCCUAAUACAUGCAAGUCGAACGGUGUCUUCGGACAUAGUUGCGCACGGGUGCGUAACACGUAUGCAACCUACCUUACAUUGGGGGAUAGCCCUUCGAAAGGGAGAUUAAUACCGCAUAAGACAGUAGCUGGUCAUCCAGCAGCUGUUAAAGAUUUAUCGAUGUAAGCUGGGCAUGCCUCCAAUUAGCUAGUUGGGGAGGUAACGGCUCACCAAGGCAAUGAUUGGUAGGGGAACUGAGAGGUCAAGUCCCCCACACUGGCACUGAGAUACGGGCCAGACUCCUACGGGAGGCAGCAGUAGGGAAUAUUGGGCAAUGGACGCAAGUCUGACCCAGCCAUGCCGCGUGCAGGAUGAAGGCGUUAUGCGUUGUAAACUGCUUUUAUACAGGAAGAAACGACUCUUGCGAGAGGCAUUGACGGUACUGUAUGAAUAAGCACCGGCUAACUCCGUGCCAGCCGCCGCGGUAAAAC